rnacentral:lncRNA from 1 species
UUUCAAUUAUAUUAUUUAAGACAUUCCGAAAGACAGACGCCUUUAUGUUUUCAAUUGCCUUCAUUGUUCACUGAAAUAACGAUUAGAAAACAUCGCCAGAAUGACUUAAACUAGUAGGUACCGACCAUUCCAAUGGCGUAGACGGGUACAUCGUUCUUAAACAAUUAAUUGUUUGGUUAGCAAUCCUGACAAAAAACCUGCUUCACCUAUUGAGGAAGGCAUGAGAUCACUCCUCGGAGUGUUGCUUAAUUUAUAGAUUUUUGUGUACUUUUGUUAUGUU